GCUACAGGCUUAACACAUGCAAGUCGAGGGGCAGCAUGGUCUUAGCUUGCUAAGGCCGAUGGCGACCGGCGCACGGGUGAGUAACACGUAUCCAACCUGCCGUCUACUCUUGGACAGCCUUCUGAAAGGAAGAUUAAUACAAGAUGGCAUCAUGAGUCCACAUGUUCACAUGAUUAAAGGUAUUCCGGUAGACGAUGGGGAUGCGUUCCAUUAGAUAGUAGGCGGGGUAACGGCCCACCUAGUCUUCGAUGGAUAGGGGUUCUGAGAGGAAGGUCCCCCACAUUGGAACUGAGACACGGUCCAAACUCCUACGGGAGGCAGCAGUGAGGAAUAUUGGUCAAUGGGCGCAGGCCUGAACCAGCCAAGUAGCGUGAAGGAUGACUGCCCUAUGGGUUGUAAACUUCUUUUAUAAAGGAAUAAAGUCGGGUAUGCAUACCCGUUUGCAUGUACUUUAUGAAUAAGGAUCGGCUAACUCCGUGCCAGCAGCCGCGGUAAUACGGAGGAUCCGAGCGUUAUCCGGAUUUAUUGGGUUUAAAGGGAGCGUAGAUGGAUGUUUAAGUCAGUUGUGAAAGUUUGCGGCUCAACCGUAAAAUUGCAGUUGAUACUGGAUAUCUUGAGUGCAGUUGAGGCAGGCGGAAUUCGUGGUGUAGCGGUGAAAUGCUUAGAUAUCACGAAGAACUCCGAUUGCGAAGGCAGCCUGCUAAGCUGCAACUGACAUUGAGGCUCGAAAGUGUGGGUAUCAAACAGGAUUAGAUACCCUGGUAGUCCACACGGUAAACGAUGAAUACUCGCUGUUUGCGAUAUACAGCAAGCGGCCAAGCGAAAGCGUUAAGUAUUCCACCUGGGGAGUACGCCGGCAACGGUGAAACUCAAAGGAAUUGACGGGGGCCCGCACAAGCGGAGGAACAUGUGGUUUAAUUCGAUGAUACGCGAGGAACCUUACCCGGGCUUAAAUUGCAGAUGAAUUACGGUGAAAGCCGUAAGCCGCAAGGCAUCUGUGAAGGUGCUGCAUGGUUGUCGUCAGCUCGUGCCGUGAGGUGUCGGCUUAAGUGCCAUAACGAGCGCAACCCUUGUUGUCAGUUACUAACAGGUUCCGCUGAGGACUCUGACAAGACUGCCAUCGUAAGAUGUGAGGAAGGUGGGGAUGACGUCAAAUCAGCACGGCCCUUACGUCCGGGGCUACACACGUGUUACAAUGGGGGGUACAGAGGGCCGCUACCACGCGAGUGGAUGCCAAUCCCAAAAACCUCUCUCAGUUCGGACUGGAGUCUGCAACCCGACUCCACGAAGCUGGAUUCGCUAGUAAUCGCGCAUCAGCCACGGCGCGGUGAAUACGUUCCCGGGCCUUGUACACACCGCCCGUCAAGCCAUGGGAGCCGGGGGGUACCUGAAGUGCGUAACCGCGAGGAGCGCCCUAGGGUAAAACUGGUGACUGGGGCUAAGUCAUAACA
rnacentral:rRNA from 1 species